AGCAGCCGCGGUAAUUCCAGCUCCAAUAGCGUAUAUUAAAGUUGUUGCAGUUAAAAAGCUCGUAGUUGAAUUUCGAGAUCGGCUUACUGGUCGUGCUAUUGUACGUACUGGUAUAAUCGGUUUCUCCUUUCUGACGAACUAUAAUGCCAUUAAUUUGGUGUUUUAGGGAAUCAGGACUGUUACUUUGAAAAAUUAGAGUGUUUAAAGCAGGCUCACGCUUGAAUACAUUAGCAUGGAAUAACGGAAUAGGACGUUUGAUUCUAUUUUGUUGGUUUCUAGGAUCGACGUAAUGAUUAAUAGGGAUAGUUGGGGGCAUUAGUAUUCAAUUGUCAGAGGUGAAAUUCUUGGAUUUAUUGAAGACUAACUACUGCGAAAGCAUUUGCCAAGGAUGUUUUCAUUAAUCAAGAACGAAAGUUAGGGGAUCGAAGACGAUCAGAUACCGUCGUAGUCUUAACCAUAAACUAUGCCGACUAGGGAUCGGAUGAUGUAAUUUUUAAUGACUCAUUCGCGCCUUACGGGA
rnacentral:rRNA from 1 species